AACGAACGCUGGCGGCAGGCCUAACACAUGCAAGUCGAGCGAGAACUUCGGUUCUAGCGGCGGACGGGUUAGUAACGCGUGGGAAUAUGCCCUUCACUACGGAAUAGUCCCGGGAAACUGGGUUUAAUACCGUAUACGCCCUUCGGGGGAAAGAUUUAUCGGUGAAGGAUUAGCCCGCGUUGGAUUAGGUAGUUGGUGGGGUAAUGGCCUACCAAGCCGACGAUCCAUAGCUGGUUUGAGAGGAUGAUCAGCAACACUGGGACUGAGACACGGCCCAGACUCCUACGGGAGGCAGCAGUGGGGAAUCUUAGACAAUGGGGGCAACCCUGAUCUAGCCAUGCCGCGUGAGUGAUGAAGGCCUUAGGGUUGUAAAGCCCUUUUGUUGGGAAAGAAAAGCAAUCGAUUAAUACCCGAUUGUUCUGACGGUACCCAAAGAAUAAGCACCGGCUAACUUCGUGCCAGCAGCCGCAGUAACAC
rnacentral:rRNA from 1 species